GGCGUGGAGGCACAGAAUAGAUCCCUGUUGUCACGCCCUAACGAUGCUACUCGAUGUUGGGAGGAAUUCUAGCUCCAGCGAAGGCGUUUAGUUAGCACCUGGGAGUACGUCCGCAGGAUGAACUCAAGGAAUUGACGGGGUCCGCACAAGCGGUGAGCAUGUGGUUAAUUCGAUGAUACGCGAGAAACCUUACCUAGGCUAGAAUGUGAGUGCCACCCUGUGAAAGCAGGGGUUCCUUCGGGACGCGAAACAAGGUGCUGCAUGGUUGUCGUCAGCUCGUGCCGUGAGGUGUUGGGUUAAGUCCCGCAACGAGCGCAACCCCUAUUGUUAGUUGCCAGCACGUAAAGGUGGGGACUCUAGCAAGACUGCCGGCGUAAGCCGCGAGGAAGGUGGGGAUGACGUCAAAUCAUCAUGGCCUUUAUGCCUAGGGCGACACACGUGCUACAAUGGUCGGUACAGAGGGUAGCGAAGCCGCGAGGUGGAGCCAAUCCCAAAAAGCCGAUCUCAGUUCGGAUUGGAGUCUGCAACUCGACUCCAUGAAGUUGGAAUCGCUAGUAAUCGCGCAUCAGCCAUGGCGCGGUGAAUACGUUCCCGGACGUUGUACACACCGCCCGUCAAGCCAUGGGAGUUGGGGGUGCCUGAAGAUGGUGACUAUUACGGGGAGCUAUCUAGGGUAAUACCAGCGACUGGGGCUAAGUCGUAACAAGGUAGCCG
rnacentral:rRNA from 1 species